AUUCAGUUGAUUUUUCAGCAAGUUACUUCUAUCUUAUCCCAGCAGUUUGCCACCUCAGGUUUUACUUAGAGAAUGACAUCUUAGGUUGAUCCAGACUAGACUAUGAUCCCUCAUGUCUCUACUAUCUUUCAGAUGCUUACAGCUCAGUCCGCAUGACUUGAGGAGCUUGAGGGAUAUAUUCUGAGACUGACGGGUCGAGUUUUAGAUUUGCAAAGGCAGGUAUUAGCCUUAGUCCAUCCCCAACUGCAAGAGGACAUCACGGAGGUCUCCAACCCAUCUGCAGAGAUGGCUAGGCUUUGAGGCAUUUUGGAGAAUGGCUUUGAUUUUUUGAAGAGAG
rnacentral:lncRNA from 1 species